CCCCCCCACAUCCGUGAUAUUCCCCUUCCAUAGAAAUCUGGUAAGAAUCUGUUGUAUACGCUUGUGGAUGCAUUUAGGUAAAACAAAAUGCCGAGUCCAAAAGUUUUGAAUGCUUAGGAGAACCACUUCAAUCAAACGAAGCCGACCCAUGUAAGAGAGCAACAAAGCAGUCCAAGAGAUGAUUCUGGAGGUGAUUCGAUCGAUCAAAGGAACACAAUCAUUUACACUCAUCUUGGAAGAAAUGAGGGGCACCCCCAAGAACUUAACCGGAAGCAGCCCACGAGGCAUGGCAAAAUUCAAGUCAAACCAGUCCACCAAAUCAGGCUUGCAGUUACAAAAGAAACUGGUGCUUUUGUUAAUGCUAGCUGAGAGCCCACUCAAGGAUCCAAAAAGAGUCAGACUGUCCAUAAGACAUAGGGUCCCCUUGACGGAUGCCCUUUGCCCCCUUAAAAUAGCCACAGGAUGCUCCAUUUAUCUUGAUGGAAAACAUAGCCGUAGUAACACACUCGCGAACCCAAGCAACAAAACGAGGUGGGAAAUUCAUAUGAGCCAUAGCAGCAAAAAUAAACUCCCAAUUAAUGGAGUCAAAAGCCUUGUGCAAAUCAAUCUUUAAAGCACACUUGGGAGUACCUGUAUCACGGGAGUAUCCCCUAAACAAUUCCUGAGCCAUCAAAAUGUUGUCUGAAAUCUAUCUUCCAGGAAUGAAAGCAGACUGGGCAUGAUCAAUGAGGGAGGGCAAAAGAAUCUUGAGUCUUGAAGCCAGAAUUUUUGAGAUGCAUUUGUAGACCAUGGUGCACAGAGAAAUGGGCCUAAAGUCCUUCAUAGAAUCCGCAGCCGGGUGCUUAGGAAUUAAAGCUAUAAGGGUGGAAUUAGCACCCUUAUUCAUGACCGAGUGCUCAAAGAAAUCCUUGACAGCAAUGCAAAAUAAAGGCCCAACAAUAUCCCAACAAUGAAGAUAAAACUCCACGUUAAAUCCUUCGGGGCCCGGGGCUUUGUUGCGUUUCAUGCCCUUUAGAGUCUUAAAAAUCAAAGCAUCCGUCACAGGGGCAAGAAGGGCAGGGUGGGCUUGAUCUGGGAGCCGUCCACAAUCAAAAUUCAGAACAGGAGUAGGGGUUGCACUCGAGGAGCCAAUAGAGUUUUUAAAGAAAUCAAUCGCCACAGAGGCCACAUUCUUGUGACCUAAAACAAGUUGUCCAGAGGUAUCCUUGAUUGAGAGAAUUUUGUUGUGAUUCCAAUUCUUUUUCGUUUGAUUGAAAAAGAAACUAUUGUUGUUGUCACCAAGGGAGAGCCAUGAUACCCUAGAUUUUUGUUUGUAGAAAGUUUCUUCAUGGUUGAGAGCUUUGAGGAGGUCAUCCCCCCCCUGGGAUUCAUCACGCAACAGAACAGGGUCACGGGGAGACCUGAGAAGGGCAGUUUGAGUUGCAGCAAGGGCAGCACGGGCAUCAAGGGUUUUAACACGUAGAUCACCAUGAUUUUUGUUAAGUCUAACCAAGUUCUGCUUUACAAGCUUGAGUUUUCUACCAAGAACAGCCAAGGGGUCACCAAACAGGGGCUGAUCCCAAGCACUCUGCACAGCCGCAUCAAAACCAUCAAGUUCAAACAUGAAAUUAAAAAAUUGAAAGUUUUUGUGCACCUUGUCAAUUUCCAUAGGAACAUGAAUUUUGAGAGGACAGUGGUCCAUGAGACCACGAUUAAGAACAUGACAUUGAGCAUCCGGAUGAGCCAAAAGCCAGGCAGAAUUUACAAUAGCCCGAUCCAACCUUUUGGAAACCCUGUCGUUGCCUCGAUUAUUAGACCAAGUAAAUAAGUGACCCACUGUUGAGAGAUCACUAAGAUGAGAGUCCAUCAAACAAUCUCUAAACUGCUCCAUAUCGGGGGUCCAAUGCUGUCGCCCCCCAUCAAUCUCAUUUAACCCAACAACACAGUUAAAGUCACCAAGGAGGACCCAAGGCAGAGUAGUGGUGCUUUUAGAACGGAUGUAAUUCCAUAAAGGAACACGGUCACAAGCAUCAUUAUAAGCAUAAACAAAAGUGGCCAAAAAAGAAAGAUUCUUCUCUUUAAAAUUGCAACUACAAGUAAUCCAUUGAGCAUGACAGUCAACCAAAGUGACAUCCCAAAAAUUAGGGUCCCAUCCCACCCAUAUGCGACCAUUAUAAUGAAAAUCAUUAUUAAACAACCAAUUCCAACCCUUUUUGAUUCUUUUCGAAAUAGAGGAGCAAUUAUGAGACUUUACCUUGGUUUCCAGAAAACCACAAAAUGAGAGAUCAUUAGAGUUGAUGAAGUUGACCACUUCAUCCUGGUGGGGUUUUUUGUUCAACCCCCUAACAUUCCAAGCGGCUAGAUUCAUUGAGAGGCCUUGGUUGCAUCACCUUGCAACCUACGGCUCCUUUUUGGGAGAGUUGAACCUUUAUCACCAUUACCAAGACCUCGUUUGCUGGGAGACGCUUGUUGAACCUUACUCCUCUGUUUCUUCUUACCCUUGCUAGCCGGGGUGAAUUCCCCUUCUUCAAGUGCAGGAGGCAACGGGGGCAAAGCCAUGGCACCCCCAGGCGCAGCAAGACCAAAAACCACAACAUUAGGGCCAUGAGCAUAGGAAUUAUGUAUUCCAGUGUUAUCUAUCAUAACAUCAUCAUCAACAUCAGCUAGAGCCUGAAAUCUGUUAGGGGAAUUUAUUUGUUCUUGAUCAGCAAAAGCAGCGUCAAGAGGAGCGCUCUCCAGGAUGCCCUCGAGCGCAACAGGGGCAUUUUCGGGCACUGGAGUCUGAACAGAAUCCGUAGCGGUGUGCUGGACUUGAGUGUAGGCCAUAUCACGAGCCAAGUCAGUUAUGAUGUCUGCCAUAUGUUGAAUCAUUUCCACGUCCUCCAGUUCCUCCAGUUGAGUAUUUCCAUUUUGUUGCUGCAACUCAGUAUGCUCGGGAGGAGCCCGAGUGGUGCUCUUGGGAGUAUCAGAUUUGGGCUCCCCAUGGUGCGCAGGAGGAGUUCGAGUGGAGCCCUUAUCAGAACUAGGAUCCUUGACCUUGUUCGGGUUUUUAGUGCAUCUUGCCAACGAAUGGCCAUAGCAAGCACAUAGGCUACAAGAAAGAGGCAUGGCAGAGUAGAGAACUUGCACUUUCACUUUAACAAUGGAACCAUCUUCAUCACUUAUAACCGGAACCCAAAUGAAAUCUGGUUUUGGUGAUUUGUAAGAGACCUCCACAAGAACACGAGCAUAUCUCAUGGGCUCUAGCUUGGCAGUAGGAGCAUCCAACGUAAUCGGUUUCCCAACAGCCCUAGCCAACAUUCUAAUGCCCUCAGCUGUCCAGUAAGAGUGAGGGACAUCUGAAAAUUGAACCCAAAUUGAUACAAACGGUAUCACAUUCCUCUGGAAAUUAGUGCCUUCAAUCCAAGCACCCAAAUACAUCCUUUUACCACCCAUCAUCAUAGAGCUAGCACCCAAAAAACUCUUCAUUUCAUCUUCAGUUUUAAAUUCGAAAGUGUAGUAUCCUUUCGAAUUGAAGUAAACAUUCAGAAGACCCCUGUUUUUCCACAUCUUUAAGGCAUUUUCCUUUACAAAUUUAAAAGAAAAACCCCCACCAACAAAGUACCCAAUGCAACUUGUAGCCCAUCUCUUUCUCCCAGCAAGAAGAAAUGACUUUGGGGGACUCAAAUUGGCCGAACCAUCAACAUUAUAAGAUAAAGAAGGCUCAGGAGUCGAGCUAUCAUUUUGUGGGACAAAAGGAGCCACAAUAGAAGACCAUGUCUUGGCAUCCUUGGGCGCAACAGGGGCGCUAGUACCUACAUCAGGAUUAGAAUUUCCAACACACAAAAUGCCCUGCCUUACACAAAAAUCUCGUGCAACAGAAGCAAGAGUUGGACGAAUAACACCAUUAUCAUCAACCUUACGGGCAUGUAAAUUUGAUAAACUGGACUGAUAAGCAUUAAAAUCAUCAAGAAGCCCUUUUGACUUUAAAAAGUUCACAUAAUCCAGUUUAAAACGAUUAGCUUUAAUAAUCUCAGGAUGGUUAUCAAUGCUUACCCCAAUUGAGCUGCUAGACUCAGACUGAGUGUGCGAGUGGUCCCGUAUGGUGCCCCCAGCAUCCAUAAUGGCAAAGUCCUGUCUAAGUCUGGUGAGAGUCCCAGGAGGAGCAUUCACAUACAUAUCAUUUGUAUGAACACUUUCUUCAUCAGAAAGAUUAUCAAACACAGCUUGAAAUUGAACCAUGGCACCAGGACCAGGCGCUACAGGCGCAUUCUCGGGCACAGCGCCCACAUCGGGCACCGCCUGAGCAUCCUCGAGCGCAGCGCCCACAUCGGGAACCGCCUGAGCAUCCUCGAGCGCAGCGCCCACCACGGGCAUAGCUAGAGCAUCUACAGGCGCAGCAACAGCCAAAGGCAUUUCGUCGAGCACAACAAGGGCAUUCUCAGGCACCACUGGAGCAACAAGCCCAGGAGGCGGCAAGGGGGGAAAAUCAUCCAUAAAGUAACAGAUCGGAAAGAGAACACAGAUGGGGAUGUAGAGCAGGUGAAGGGGAACAAGAUGAGACAGGAGGUGAGAACCAACGCGCGCCGUCCGGGCGCCGGACGGGCACCUAGGGGCGCGGAGCGCGAAAAGUGUUUAGGCGGGAAAGUUAGAGAGAAGGGAGAGCUUCUCUCUCUUGAAAAGAAAGGGGCAACUAACUAACUACGAGCUUUUUUUUUUUGCUAAAUGGAUAUAUAUAUAAAAAAAGGAGAAGAAUAUACAAAGGAAUCAAGAGGCUUGCCACAAAAACUUUCUAUAACCAAUCUCAAAAGAGGAGAUUGAAGAUAGAAAGAGGCAGCUCACAGAGCAUGGGACAGACCCCCAAGGCAAAGCCAAAAGACUACUAACCACAGCUACGAGCUAAACAACUAAGCUAGUAAAUACAUCAAAAGAGCCAAGUACAAAUCACAGGCCUACUACAAAUGAGUCUAGAUAACCAAUGAGAAGAAGCAGCUCUUCCCCGAAUAUCAACCAUAAUCCCAUCAAGAAGCUUCCUAGGGCCAAAGCUGCCACCCCCAUGAAGUCGAGCAUUUCGCUCACGCCACAAGUGGUAAGCAAAGGUCUGAAAAUAGAGCAACAAAAUCUGUCUCUGAGGAAUAUCAGCAAUGGCAAGAGUAAGCAAAAUCCAGUCCUUCCAGUCCAAAGAGUGGUCGAGGGUGAAGCCAUGAACCUCGAAUAAAUAAGCCCUGUGAAUGAACUUGGCGUAGGGGCAAGCAAUAAAAAGAUGCUGUGCCGUCUCCGUAGCCCCUACACAAAAAAUGCAAGUAGAAUCCUCAAUAACAUGACGAUCCUGCAAAGUAGAACGAGUAACAACUCUGUCAAGACAAAGUAACCAAGAUAGAAAACAGAAACGAGUAAUUCCAAGCUUGAACCAAACCCCGGACGCCCAAGGGCAAAGCGUCCCCCGAACACGAAUAGACUCCCAAAUAACCCGAGUACAAACAUCACCCUUCUUGACACCAUCCCAAGAAAUCAGAUCAGAUUUCUCCAAAUCAAAAGAGGGGUAAUCAAAAUCCCUAAUCCAGGAAGCAAGAGAAGGGUUGGCAUGGUGGAGCUGCGAGUUUCCCCUGGGCAAGCGCCACUCCCCAAAACAGAUCAAUGUAUAAACCAAUGCACUAGAAGAAGACCCAGCAGCAUGAAUGAUAGGAUCAUUCAAAGAAGAAGCAAGACUCUGAUGUUUCCACCAGGGGUCAAACCAAAGAGAGGUACCGAGACCAUUUCCAAUGGAGUAACAAAUGAACUGUUUGGCCACCUCACGAAGGGAUAAAACCUUACGCCAAAUCCAAGAGCAAUCAGUAGGGGUGGGGAUGACCCAGAAGCUACGACCCCUUAAGACACUAUUGUUAACCCAUUUCGACCACAAAGAGUCCUUUUGAGUUACCACAGACCAAAGAUGAAACAAAAUUUGUGCUUGGUUCCAUUCCGUGGAUUUUUUAAGACCCAAGCCCCCCUCCUCCUUUGGUAGACAAAGAUUGAGCCAAGAAACUUUGCCCCCCCCCACAUCCGUGAUAUUCCCCUUCCAUAGAAAUCUGGUAAGAAUCUGUUGUAUACGCUUGUGGAUGCAUUUAGGUAAAACAAAAUGCCGAGUCCAAAAGUUUUGAAUGCUUAGGAGAACCACUUCAAUCAAACGAAGCCGACCCAUGUAAGAGAGCAACAAAGCAGUCCAAGAGAUGAUUCUGGAGGUGAUUCGAUCGAUCAAAGGAACACAAUCAUUUACACUCAGCUUGGAAGAAAUGAGGGGCACCCCCAAGAACUUAACCGGAAGCAGCCCACGAGGCAUGGCAAAAUUCAAGUCAAACCAGUCUACCAAAUCAGGCUUGCAGUUACAAAAGAAACUGGUGCUUUUGUUAAUGCUAGCCGAGAGCCCACUCAAGGAUCCAAAAAGAGUCAGACUGUCCAUAAGAUGAGUAAUGGAAGCCUUAUCCCCAUGACAAAACAACAAGACAUCAUCAGCAAAGAAUAGAUGGGUCAAGCGUAGCUCCUUGCAUUUCCAAUGGAACUUGAAACCGGGAGGGGGGCUGUUGAGAAUACAAGAUAAGACAUGCAUAGCUAUGGAGAAAAGAUAAGGAGACAUAGGGUCCCCUUGACGGAUGCCCUUUGCCCCCUUAAAAUAGCCACAGGAUGCUCCAUUUAUCUUGAUGGAAAACAUAGCCGUAGUAACACACUCGCGAACCCAAGCAACAAAACGAGGUGGGAAAUUCAUAUGAGCCAUAGCAGCAAAAAUAAACUCCCAAUUAAUGGAGUCAAAAGCCUUGUGCAAAUCAAUCUUUAAAGCACACUUGGGAGUACCAGUAUCACGGGAGUAUCCCCUAAACAAUUCCUGAGCCAUCAAAAUGUUGUCUGAAAUCUGUCUUCCAGGAAUGAAAGCAGACUGGGCAUGAUCAAUGAGGGAGGGCAAAAGAAUCUUGAGUCUUGAAGCCAGAAUUUUUGAGAUGCAUUUGUAGACCAUGGUGCACAGAGAAAUGGGCCUAAAGUCCUUCAUAGAAUCCGCAGCCGGGUGCUUAGGAAUUAAAGCUAUAAGGGUGGAAUUAGCACCCUUAUUCAUGACCGAGUGCUCAAAGAAAUCCUUGACAGCAAUGCAAAAUAAAGGCCCAACAAUAUCCCAACAAUGAAGAUAAAACUCCACGUUAAAUCCUUCGGGGCCCGGGGCUUUGUUGCGUUUCAUGCCCUUUAGAGUCUUAAAAAUCAAAGCAUCCGUCACAGGGGCAAGAAGGGCAGGGUGGGCUUGAUCUGGGAGCCGUCCACAAUCAAAAUUCAGAACAGGAGUAGGGGUUGCACUCGAGGAGCCAAUAGAGUUUUUAAAGAAAUCAAUCGCCACAGAGGCCACAUUCUUGUGACCUAAAACAAGUUGUCCAGAGGUAUCCUUGAUUGAGAGAAUUUUGUUGUGAUUCCAAUUCUUUUUCGUUUGAUUGAAAAAGAAACUAUUGUUGUUGUCACCAAGGGAGAGCCAUGAUACCCUAGAUUUUUGUUUGUAGAAAGUUUCUUCAUGGUUGAGAGCUUUGAGGAGGUCAUCCCCCCCCUGGGAUUCAUCACGCAACAGAACAGGGUCACGGGGAGACCUGAGAAGGGCAGUUUGAGUUGCAGCAAGGGCAGCACGGGCAUCAAGGGUUUUAACACGUAGAUCACCAUGAUUUUUGUUAAGUCUAACCAAAUUCUGCUUUACAAGCUUGAGUUUUCUACCAAGAACAGCCAAGGGGUCACCAAACAAGGGCUGAUCCCAAGCACUCUGCACAGCCGCAUCAAAACCAUCGAGUUCAAACAUGAAAUUAAAAAAUUGAAAGUUUUUGUGCACCUUGUCAAUUUCCAUAGGAACAUGAAUUUUGAGAGGACAGUGGUCCAUGAGACCACGAUUAAGAACAUGACAUUGAGCAUCCGGAUGAGCCAAAAGCCAGGCAGAAUUUACAAUAGCCCGAUCCAACCUUUUGGAAACCCUGUCGUUGCCUCGAUUAUUAGACCAAGUAAAUAAGUGACCCACUGUUGAGAGAUCACUAAGAUGAGAGUCCAUCAAACAAUCUCUAAACUGCUCCAUAUCGGGGGUCCAAUGCUGUCGCCCCCCAUCAAUCUCAUUUAACCCAACAACACAGUUAAAGUCACCAAGGAGGACCCAAGGCAGAGUAGUGGUGCUUUU
rnacentral:lncRNA from 1 species